rnacentral:rRNA from 1 species
UUCCGGGAAACCNGUAGCUAAUACCGGAUAAUAUUUUGAACCGCAUGGUUCACAAAGUGAAAGCGGUCUUCUGUCACUUAUAGAUGGAUCCGCGCUGCAUUAGUAGUUGGUAAGGUUAACGGCUUACCAAGGCAACGAUGCAUAGCCGACCUGAGAGGGUGAUCGGCCACACUGGAACUGGGACACGGUCCAAACUCCUACGGGAGGCACAUGGGGAAUAUUGCACAAUGGGCGCAAGCCUGAUGCAGCACGCCGCGUGAACGAUGAAGGUCUUCGGAUCGUAAAGUUCUGUUGCAGGGGAAGAUAAUGACGGUACCCUGUGAGGAAGCCCCGGCUAGCUACGUGCCAGCAGCCGCGGUAAUACGUAGGGGGCUAGCGUUAUCCGGAUUUACUGGGCGUAAAGGGUGCGUAGGUGGUCUUUCAAGUCGGUGGUUAAAGGCUACGGCUCAACCGUAGUUAGCCUCCGAAACUGGAAGACUUGAGUGCAGGAGAGGAAAGUGGAAUUCCCAGUGUAGCGGUGAAAUGCGUAGAUAUUGGGAGGAACACCAGUAGCGAAGCGGCUUUCUUGGACUGCAACUGACACUGAGGCACGAAAGCGUGGGUAGCAAACAGGAUUAGAUACCCUGGUAGUCCACGCUGUAAACGAUGAGUACUAGGUGUCGGGGGUUACCCCCCUCGGUGCCGCAGCUGAACGCAUAAGUGACUCCGCCUGGGGAGUACGCACCAAG